AUCUUCUUCCUGCCCUCGCCGUGGCGGGCGACGGUUUCUCGCGCCGUGGCUGGCUCGGCCGGCCGGGGCACCGCGCCGGGCUCCAUGCAGCCGGGCUGCGCGGUCCCGCAGAGCGGGCGCCUCCGGGGCUCGAGUCGGGGACCCGGCAGGAGCGGGCCGGGGAUGGCGGCGGCGGGCGGCGGGUCGGCCGUGGAGCCCCGGAGAGGCGGCCGCCACCACCGCUGCCCGCAGUCUGCGAGGUGUCCGGCGGUCCGCUCAGGGCCUCUUUUGCAGACUCGGUGCCCGGAGUGCGCCGGCGCCGCCCGCCAGGUCUUGGCACUGCUGGCGCGGCCGCGGCGGCGGGGGCCCGGCUCCAGAUCACCGACCCCCACGAGCGCCGGCCCUGCCUGCCCGCUAUUUUGGUUCCAUCUCUUCUGCAUAUUUAUGCUUGCCUGUUACAUUCCCUGGCCUCUGAGUGUCCUUUGGCAGUUUCCAAAGCAUUUGGGCAAGAAGGAGCUUGGGCAGCUUCACAACAGGUUUAUUGGGCACUUCCUAGCACCAGGCACUGCAAUAAGAAAUGGAGGUUAAACCAUGAAGAAACAUGGCUCUAGCCCUUAGGGAGCUCCCGGUCCUGCAGUCAAAACUUCUUUGAGACGAUGCUGUCGGCCUUGGCCAAUCGGAGAAUCGAAUCAUCUGACUCACCCAUCCUAUCGCCCCGCAGAUAGCAUAAGUUUUAAACUGGCCAUUAAACCUGCCCGUGACCUUGUCAGCCUCGGCCACGUUCAUCUGGAUGGAUGCGUGGUCCUUGGCACCGAUGAUGCGGUUGCUAGCGGAGCAUUUCCGCGGAACUUACAGGUCCACGAACUCGCCGGCGUUGUUCUGCAUUUCGAGGCUCCGCCUGCUGCCACCACACCGCGCACGCGAGAGAAAGCCGAGGGUUUGUCCUCUUAUGCCAAGUUAGGGCAGCCCUCAAAGCAGAUCUCGAAGGGAAGACGUCUACCGAGAGCGGAUUUUGAUGUAUCACUCCAUGAGACUGGUGCCUUUCUCUAGCCUGGAGAAUUCCAAGGGUGCAAAGCUGGCUGAAGCUAUUUGAGACGGCUGGUGAGGAUUUGGGCCAGCAGAGGGGUAAGCGUUCAGGACUCGCAGAGUUUGAAUGAGCAAGCAUGUCUGAGUGGACCCCAUGGAAAGCAUUCAGGCUUUAGUUGUCUUAAAACGGCCAUACCCAGAGCAAGUGUAAAGGCAGUUGUGGAAAAUAAUAUAAACCAGUUACAAUAGCAUUCUUGGAGUGCUUACCCAGGUACUAGGGAUUAUUUUAUUAAUCCUCACAACCACCCUAAAAAAGCAUUACUUUCAUUCCCAUUUUUCAGAUGAGAAAACGGAGGAGUGAGGUCGUUAUUUUCUCAAGAUCAUAGAAUUAGCAUGGUUCAUAACUGGUAUUUAAAUAGCAGAUCCUUGUAUGUAUUAGCUUGGUGUUGAUCCCAUCUAUCUGUGGUUGGUUCCCAGAUUUACUACCUCCAGCUUUGGUUUCAUUCCCUCCUGAACUCAAGACCUGUAUAUCCAACUGCUUACUUGAUAUUUCCAUUUGGGUAUGUCAUAGCCAGUGGAAAACACUGGGUAAUUUAUGAGGAUAAGAGGUUUAGUUGACCCACAGGUCCACAGGCUGUACAGGAAGCAUGGCUGGGAGACCUCAGGAAACUUAAAAUCAUGGCAGAAGGUGAAGGGGAAGCACUUGCUCUCCUCUCUGCCUAGAGGGCUAGAGGAAAGUUCCUGAUUGCAACUUACCGCUACCUUGCUCUUCCCUAUCUUGGUUGCUUGAGUCACGUCUCCUUUCCCUUACCUUCUCCCUUUGUCUGACAUACCCAGUUGCUGUAGAACUUGAAUCCAUUGACUUCUCUCCAUUUCCACUGUCAUUUUAUGAGUGCAACCCACAUCACCCCACUGCUUUUAUUCUUCCCUCUCAGCCCACUCUCCACAGUAGAGAGAGAAUUAUUUUCAUCUCCCUUUACUGGCUUGUCAUUUAUCUGGGAAUAAAAUCCAAACUGCACCACGGAGCCUUGGAAGGCCUGGCUGCUCCUCCCCUCGCAGUUCUCCAUGGCUCACUGGACUUUAGCAGCUCUGGCCUCCCUUCUGUUCCCUAGGAACCUUGGCCUUUGCACUUGUUCUCCUCUCUGCCUAGAGGGCUCUUUUUCUCAUCUCUUUGCAUAGCUGGGUCAUCCUCAUCCUUUAGGUCUCAACUGAAAGGUCACCUUCUCACUGCUACUCCCAGCUACUCAUUCUCUUUCCCAUGUUUAUCUUUGUCAUAGUCCUUCAAACAAUUGGUAAUUAAUUUGCUUAUUUUAAAAAACUUGUUUGUUAGAUGUGUUUAUCCUGUUUCCUCCUCCCAACUAUGAUCUAAGCUCUCUGAGAAGGGGCCUCACUUACCUUCAUGUUCAUCACUGUAGUGCCACAAUCUAGCAAAUUGCCUGGCAUAUGGAGGUGCUCAGCAAAUACCUGUUAAAUAAAUGAAUGAAUUUUUUU
rnacentral:lncRNA from 1 species